rnacentral:rRNA from 1 species
UACGAAGGGGGCUAGCGUUGUUCGGAUUUACUGGGCGUAAAGCGCACGUAGGCGGAUCGAUCAGUCAGGGGUGAAAUCCCAGGGCUCAACCCUGGAACUGCCUUUGAUACUGUCGAUCUGGAGUAUGGAAGAGGUGAGUGGAAUUCCGAGUGUAGAGGUGAAAUUCGUAGAUAUUCGGAGGAACACCAGUGGCGAAGGCGGCUCACUGGUCCAUUACCGACGUUCAGGCACGAAAGCGUGGGGAGCAAACAGG